CGUGCACUGUCGGUCGGCGGCUAAGGAGGGGAGGCACCUGCAUCUGGGGCGCGGCGAAUCCUCGCGUGCGCCAGGCCGCCUGGGGUAGUCGCCGAGACUGCGCCGGCCAGCGGGGCCGAAACCUAAUCAGGAGCUGAGCUUUGAUGGCGGCUUCUGGAGGGACAAAGAAGGCGCAGAGCGGUGGGAGGAGGCUGCGAGAACCUAGCUCCCGCCCCAGCCGACGUGCGAGACAAAGGCCCCGGCGCGGGGCUCUUCGGAAGGCCGGGAGGUUCCUGUGACAAUGCGAGUCUGCGCCCCACGCUCCCGCACCGUGAUGCCGAGGCCAAAUGGCUAGAGUGGGCCCAGGCAUCAGCAUUUCUGUUUGGCAGCCGGGCAGUUGUGGUGCACGUUUUGAGGAACUACUAAAGCCUGCCUGUGAUGAAAAAGGCAAAAGCUGACUUCACCAAAAUUACUCCCAGGGAGACUUCUGCAUUUGGCUGGAAGGACAUUUGAGUAAACCGCUGAGGCUGGUGGUUGAAACAUAAUCCUCUAAGGGAGAUCGGUUCCGAUACCCUGAGUUAGGGACGCUUGCCUGGGCAGAGCUAAGGGGAGAAUGAUCAAAAGCCAAGCUCUGUCCCCGUCAGCACGUCACCCUCCCUCACUGUAAUCCCUGACUGUUUUCUCUAAAUGAAGAAUUAUUUAGAGAAUAUAAAUUAGAAGGGCCGCCACGUCAGAAUUGCCUGAGUGGGAGCAGUCUUUCCAGCCUCGAAAAAUGUUUAAACAAUAUGCAGAUGACCUAGCACAAAUAAAGAAUGCUAGCAACCGCUGUUAUGUGUGAGCGGUGGAAUUGGGAGGGCUCUUCCCCCAAUCUUCAUCAAACAGAGUAAGGUUUAGAAUAAAAAUAAUGAAAUACAGUCUUUCAAAAAGAGCAGCGCUUGACUAAUGUUACUGAUGUCACUCAUGUUACUCAAGGGAGGAAAGAACUCAAACUCUACAUAAUAAUACCCACUGAUUUCAAGGGCUGGCACGGAGAAUUAAGCAGACCGCCAUUCUUUAUAUUUGUUUUUUUGUUGUUGUUUGCUUAUGAUUUUUUUCUUUCUUUUUUUUUUUUUUUUUUUGAGAAGGGGUCUCGCACUGUCACCCAGGCAGGAAUGCAGUGGCGCGAUAAUGGCUCACUGCAAUCUCACUAUAUUGACCAGUAUGAUUUUCAACUCCUGUCUUUAAGCGAUCCUCACGCUUCGGCCUCCCAAAGUGCUGGGGUUACAGACAUGUGCCACUAUGCCCUGCCUAAAUAUGUUUAUAUAUACUACCGCCAAAGAAACAAUUUGAAGACGAUCUUUCCCCAGCCCCUCUCCUUCUGAUCCAACUCCAAGAGCUCACCCUCCCUGUAAGACCUGUAGCAGAGCACGUAUUGGCCUGCUGAUACUAGGGGCAAAGACCGG
rnacentral:lncRNA from 1 species